GCACUCUGACUCAAGGCCCAGGGAGGCUGGGCGCCCUCGCGGGGCGGGGCCUCGGGGAGACUCCCUGCUGCUCGCUGCCCGUCGGGCGGGCACUGUGACCUUGGGUGGAGACUGGUCUGGUUCUGCCAUGGCUAAUCCUCCCCUCUCCAAGGAUCCCCUGUUUUCUCUUGCAGAUUUGCUAAAUGACCGCGCAGUCUGUCAUCUGCGGUGUUCGCGUGACCCUCAGCGCCCUCCCCACCCGGCAGGCCCUUUCCCGCCGAAUGGGUGCGGCUGGAUUAUUGAGGGAGUGGAGGGUCGCUUAGGGCACGGGCACGAGAGGCGAGGGCGAGACGUGGCUAAUGGGGAUCAAGAGUCAGAAUGGACCCGCCAAACUUUGCCCCGAGCCAGAACGGGCUCCCUACCCGCGUCCUCGACCCAUGGGUCCUCACCUCCAGGCUGGUGUCCUCAUUUUACAGUGGAGGAGGCCGAGACCAAGGUCACACAGAGAGCAAGGGGUAGAGCCGGGUCUGACUCCAUCCACAGCCAGGACGCUUUAACUCGUAUUUUUCACUUGGCAGGGGCUUGGCGGGGACGGAACGGUGAGGUCAGAGAAUGCUGCAGAGGGGACAUUGGGACCAGGUCUUGCAGUGAGUUGAAGUGCUCCAGGCAGAGAGCGCCGGUGGGUCUUUCCUGGCCAGGCCGCAGGGGGCCUUUGGGAAGCACCCGAGGCCUAUAACCUUCGGAGCGUUUGUCAAGCUCUAAUGAGAACUGGAAAGCUUCAGCUUCCCGAGGUGGGCUGGGAGGGCCUUAGGUAGGGCCUCGCACAAAUUGCGAAGGAAAGCCGACCUUGUUCUGGAGAGCACGUGGUGAGGAAAGCCAGCGACUUGAUGUGAGCAUUUAAACGGGAGGAAGGAAGAUGAGAACUGGUAAGAUUCUUCUCGGCCGGGCGGUGCAGCGGCUCACGCCUGUAAUCCUAGCACUUUGGGAGGCCGAAGCCAGGCGGAUGACUUGAGUUCAGGAUUCGGAAGUUUGAGACCAACCUGGGCAACAUUUCAAAACCCCCGUCUCUACAAAAAAUAUUGUUUAAAAAAAGCCAGGUGUAGUGGCACGCGCCUGUAGUCCCAGCUACUUGGGAGCUGAGCUGGGAGUAUCACUCAGGACGGCUCAGAUUGAGCCCAGGAGUUCCAAGCUGCAGUGAGCUAUGAUCGCACCACUGCACUCCUGCCUGGGUGACACAGACACCGUCUCAAAAAAAAAAAAAAAAAAAAAGCCGGGCGCGGUGGCUCACGCCUGUAAUUCCAGCACUUUGGGAGGCAGAGGCGGGCGGAUCACGAGGUCAGGAAUUAGAGACCAGCCUGGCCAAGAUGGUGAAACCCCG
rnacentral:lncRNA from 1 species